rnacentral:rRNA from 1 species
AACGGCUACCACAUCCAAGGAAGGCAGCAGGCGCGCAAAUUACCCAAUCCCGAUACGGGGAGGUAGUGACAAUAAAUAACAAUACAGGGCUUUCUAGUCUUGUAAUUGGAAUGAGUACAAUUUAAAUCCCUUAACGAGGAACAAUUGGAGGGCAAGUCUGGUGCCAGCAGCCGCGGUAAUUCCAGCUCCAAUAGCGUAUAUUAAAGUUGUUGCAGUUAAAAAGCUCGUAGUUGAAUUUUAGGCUUGGUUGGACGGUCUGCCUUAGGGUUUGUACUGUCCUGGCUGGGUCUUACCUUCUGGUAAACUGUCGUGUCGUUUAUUCGGCGCGGCAGGGAACCAGGACUUUUACUUUGAAAAAAUUAGAGUGUUUAAAGCAGGCUUCUCGCUUGAAUACAUUAGCAUGGAAUAAUAGAAUAGGACUUUUGGUUCUAUUUUGUUGGUUUCUAGGACCGAAGUAAUGAUUAAUAGGGAUAGUUGGGGGCAUUAGUAUUUAAUUGUCAGAGGUGAAAUUCUUGGAUUUAUGAAAGACUAACUUCUGCGAAAGCAUUUGCCAAGGAUGUUUUCAUUAAUCAAGAACGAAAGUUAGGGGAUCGAAGACGAUCAGAUACCGUCGUAGUCUUAACCAUAAACUAUGCCGACUAGGGAUCAGGCAAGGAUAUUUUGACUUGCUUGGCACCUUAUGAGAAAUCAAAGUUUUUGGGUUCCGGGGGGAGUAUGGUCGCAAGGCUGAAA